ensembl:lncRNA
ACUGACUUGGAACUGGUGCUAGAACUUCCCUGCCUGUAUUGUUUACAUGGCCAGUGUCAGUUUUUUCACAGUCUGGAUCUGCAGGGCAGGACAGGGAUGCUAUUUUAUUUUUCAGUAGUUCCUCUACUACCUGAAACAUUUUCUGUAGCUGCUACCUUCUUUGUGUUCAUUAGGAACGGAGCAACAGAUGACAAAAUGCAUACUCCAGCUGGGACUUGGAAACCUACCUCGACAGAGGAGUUAAAAAUGAGCAUAUGAACUUCAGCCACCAAAAAGAGAACGGUGUUAUUUUCAUAGUCCCUUCCUUCUAGGAAUGAUGUGGGUUUCUUACAAAAGAACAGCAUUCUUCUUGCCCUGAGCAGAAUACCAUUCCCUCAGGACUAGGACCCUGAUGUUUCCUGAACGUCCUUCAGCCAGGACCCAGAACCUAUCCUGAACCCCACCGUGGAAACUGGAUAUUUGGGGCGUGAAGAAUGGCUUUCUCUGAACCAAAAUACAAGGGGGAAGUCACUUCACAGUGCAUUCAUGGUUCUUGUCCUGACUUUAUUCAACAUUUUUGUUGGUGAUUUGCUAAAAAACACAGAAAAUCAUGGAAUUAUGACAGCAAAUGUAAUACAGAAUAUCAGUGCUCACCAGAUAUUUCAUGUUGCCCAGCCUCCCUUGAAGGUGGGCUGGGGUCACAUAACUAAUUCUGGCCAAUGGGCUAAGAGCCAGGAACCUCCUCCAUCCUUUCCUUUCCCCGUAGCAGAGACCCUGGGAUCCUUGUGUUCAGACAGCCCUGCCUCCAGGGAAGCUACUGCUAUUAUUUCGGUGAACAGAGCCACAGUGCAAUUGAGAACCAGUAUCUUGGUCCAAUCCUGAAGAGGAUGAGUAGAGCUUUCAGGCAUCAGGUGCUGUUAGCUAAAAUGGAGGGCAUCACUAGAGCCUCCUUUUGCCUUAGAAUUUUCUGAACUAGCAGGGAAGCUUAAGUCAGAGACACCAUUUCAGAGAACUAUGGCCAAAGGUGGUGGAAGCAGCCUUUCUGUGGAUACAUUUAAUGAUGUGUCUUGAAAUAGGAAUUUCAGUAACCUCUAAAUGAGGACAUCACUUACUGUUUUCUGUGAUCAAAUGGCAGGCAUGCAGGUGUAGAAACCUCUGCCAGCCCAGAGGCAGAACCCAAAUCAGGCUUUCCUUCCUGGGACCAACCAGCUUCCUAUUCAUGCCAAGGGCUGACAUCAAAACUUUCUUGCAACAGAAAGAAAGCAAUCUGCCUCCUCACCUCUAACAACCUCCAGCUCAUUAUUAGGAGGAAGGAGAAGCCUUCCCUCAGCAGGACGGGGGUGGUUUUUAUCGAUGCAUGGUUACAUAAUGCUGUCUGCCUCAGAAGUUACAGUGUAAUAGGAAUACUGGCAUCACUACAAAAAAAAAAAAUGGUAAAUAAAUAAAGCUCUCUCGCUGGCUCCAAGCUUACCUUUGAUUUGCCUUAUAUUGAUCACAAAGAAUACCUUAGGAGAUUCCGUCAGGAUUAGAGUCUCAUUCAAGAGGAACUGGUAUUAAUCUACAGAGAGAAUUAUGAAGUGGCAACUUGAUCAUAUUUCCCUUUUUACAAGGAUUGCUUUUUUUGUUUGUUUUUUUCCGUAGCCGUGGUGAACCGGUCUAUUUAG